rnacentral:siRNA from 1 species
GAGGAAGCUUUGUGUGGUAGGGA